rnacentral:rRNA from 1 species
UACAGAGGGGGCAAGCGUUGUUCGGAAUUACUGGGCGUAAAGGGCGCGUCGGCGGCCUUCUAAGUCGAACGUGAAAUCCCCGGGCUCAACCCGGGAACUGCGUCCGAUACUGGAGGGCUUGAAUCCGGGAGAGGGAUGUGGAAUUCCAGGUGUAGCGGUGAAAUGCGUAGAUAUCUGGAGGAACACCGGUGGCGAAGGCGGCCCACUGGCUCGAUACUGACGCUGAGGUGCGAAAGCGUGGGGAGCAAACAGG